AGAGUUUGAUCAUGGCUCAGGAUGAACGCUGGCGGCGUGCUAAUACAUGCAAGUCGAGCGAACCACUUCGGUGGUGAGCGGCGAACGGGUGAGUAACACGUAGGUGAUCUGCCCAUCAGACGGGGACAACGAUUGGAAACGAUCGCUAAUACCGGAUAGGACGAAAGUUUAAAGGUGCUUUUGGCACCGCUGAUGGAUGAGCCUGCGGCGCAUUAGCUAGUUGGUAGGGUAAAGGCCUACCAAGGCGACGAUGCGUAGCCGACCUGAGAGGGUGAACGGCCACACUGGGACUGAGACACGGCCCAGACUCCUACGGGAGGCAGCAGUAGGGAAUCUUCGGCAAUGGGCGAAAGCCUGACCGAGCAACGCCGCGUGAAUGAUGAAGGCCUUCGGGUUGUAAAAUUCUGUUAUAAGGGGAGAACGACUUUAGUAGGAAAUGGCUAGAGUGUGACGGUACCUUAUGAGAAAGCCACGGCUAACUACGUGCCAGCAGCCGCGGUAAUACGUAGGUGGCGAGCGUUAUCCGGAAUUAUUGGGCGUAAAGAGCGCGCAGGUGGUUGAUUAAGUCUGAUGUGAAAGCCCACGGCUUAACCGUGGAGGGUCAUUGGAAACUGGUCGACUUGAGUGCAGAAGAGGGAAGUGGAAUUCCAUGUGUAGCGGUGAAAUGCGUAGAGAUAUGGAGGAACACCAGUGGCGAAGGCGGCUUCCUGGUCUGUAACUGACACUGAGGCGCGAAAGCGUGGGGAGCAAACAGGAUUAGAUACCCUGGUAGUCCACGCCGUAAACGAUGAGUGCUAAGUGUUGGGGGUCGAACCUCAGUGCUGAAGUUAACGCAUUAAGCACUCCGCCUGGGGAGUACGGUCGCAAGACUGAAACUCAAAGGAAUUGACGG
rnacentral:rRNA from 1 species